rnacentral:rRNA from 1 species
AGCGAACGCUGGCGGCAGGCCUAACACAUGCCAGUCGAACGAACUCUUCGGAGUUAGUGGCGGACGUGUGAGUAACACGUGGGAACGUGCCUUUAGGUUCGGAAUAACUCAGGGAAACUUGUGCUAAUACCGAAUGUGCCCUUCGGGGGAAAGAUCUAUCGCCUUUAGAGCGGCCCGCGUCUGAUUAGCUAGUUGGUGAGGUAAAGGCUCACCAAGGCGACGAUCAGUAGCUGGUCUGAGAGGAUGAUCAGCCACAUUGGGACUGAGACACGGCCUAAACUCCUACGGGAGGCAGCAGUAGGGAAUCUUGCGCAAGGGGCGAAAGCCUGGCGCAGCCAUGCCGGGUGAAUGAUGAAGGUCUUAGGAUUGUAAAAUUGUUUCACCGGGGACGAUAAUGACGGUACCCGGAGAAGAAGCCCCGGCUAACUUCGUG